GCCCAAUUUAAGGGCUUGGCCGGCCAUGGUCCAUGAAGAAUAGUCCAAGCCCAUGAAUUUAUUAAGGUCAUGUGAUAAAUAAAUAAAGGGGGCCAACAAGUCUUCAUUCUUCAUGAAGUUUCAAGAACAACCAAGAAAACAAAAGAAAGAGAGAAAGAGAAGGUGAGGUUCGGCCAUAAGAAAAAAAGGGGAGAGAAAAGAAAGAAAAAAUUUUGCCCUUCAAUCUUCAAUCCAAAAAUCCUAAUUUUCUUGUAUCUCUACUAAGUUCAAGAUUCUCUACAAAGUGGUAUAAUUAUUUUGGCAAGAAAGUGACUUUGGUGGCAAGGAGAACUUAUUGGAAAAAGGUAAGGACUUCUUGUUUCUUUUAUGUUAUUGAAGAUUUAUAGAUGUUAGAGUGAGUAGAAUUGAAUGGAAAUCAUGGAAUUGUGGUGUGGUGUGUGUGAGCCGUGUGUAUGUGUGUGGGUGUUGUGGCCGUGAGGUACCUCAUGGUGAAGAGGAGAUGAGUUGAUUUUAUUUAUUAUGUUAAUUAAGUUGUUGUGACCUUGUGAUGUAAUUGGAAGAAUAAUAGUCAAGUUGGCAUGAAAAUGUUGUUAAGUUGUUGUACGGAAUUUUAUGAUUUUAUUGGGAAUUUAUGUAAUUAUGGAAAUGGAAUUGUUAAGGUGUAGAUUGUGGUUGUUGUUGAUGAGAAUGGGAUGAGAAUUAUGGAGUUGUGAUGUGUGUGUGCAUAGCCGUGUGUGUGUGUGUGAAGUAGUGUAUGGCUGUGAGCCAUAGUAUGGUGAAGGGGAGGUGAAGUGAAGUGAAGUUCAGUUAGUUGGUUAGUUGUGUCGUUGUGACAUUUAUGACGUAAAUAAAGGUUUAACGAUUUGAGUUAGCAUUGAAAUUGGUUGUAUGUUAUUAUGGGAAAUUAUGUGAUUUUUAUAUGAUUUUUAUAUCAUGGUGAGAGUGAGAUUCUAAAUGUGAAUUAUUGUUUUCAUUAAUGAAUUUGGAGGAAAACAAUGUGAUUUGGUAGUUUCGUUGCAUUUGUAGAAGUUUCGGAUGGAAUAUGGAAGUGGCGGGAAUACUUGAAUCCAUGAAUAUUGUUUAGAAUGCUAUUGAAAUAUGUUUGAAUAAUCUUGAACUAGUUAAUGAAUAUGGAAAGUGUUGAUAUUAGUUUGGAAUUGUGGAGUUGGAAUGGAAGGGUUGCAUUAUGUAGAAAAGAAGACUAGUUGUGUUAGAAUGUGUUUGGUUGUGGUUGUUGGUAUUGUUGUGUUGUUGUUGUUGAUAUUUUGGGCCGAGAUGACUCUCGGGGAUGUGGAAUUUAUAAGGGAAAUGCUGCCGAAAUUUCGGUAGACAAAUAUGGAUUUAAAUUUGAAUUCUUGAAAGCUUGAAACUCAUAUUUGGCAACUAUGACCAAUUGUAGAUUUUGGACGAAACGUGAGUUGAGUUUGGACGAGCGUAAGACGCAAGUAAGGUACAGACGCACAGUUUGGUGAUCCACCAGUUUAGGACACCCUCUUUUGCUAUUUGGAGUGCUCCUCUUAUUCCGGAGCCUACAUUUUGGUACAUAUCUUCGUUCGCUACAUAUGUAUGUAUUUGUUCAGGGGUACGGCGGGGCCCUGUCCCGCCAUGUGAUUCGGUUGGUCUGUUUAGAGGUCUGUAGACGUAUAUGUGGGUUUUGUGCCUACUUCUGUAUGGGUGUGUUUGUAUGAUCCCACUUGCCAUGGCAGCCUUGACGGCGUGCGUUUGUAUAUGUUUUAGGCCGUUGCGCCAUUUGAUAGCCUUGUCGGCUUCUGAUAUAUAUGUACAUAUAUGGUUGUGUUUGAAA